UACGGAAGGCAGCAGGGGGGAAUAUUGCACAAUGGGCGCAAGCCUGAUGCAGCCAUGCCGCGUGUAUGAAGAAGGCCUUCGGGUUGUAAAGUACUUUCAGUCGUGAGGAAGGUGUUAAGGUUAAUAACCUUAGCAAUUGACGUUAGCGACAGAAGAAGCACCGGCUAACUCCGUGCCAGCAGCCGCGGUAAUACGGAGGGUGCGAGCGUUAAUCGGAAUUACUGGGCGUAAAGGGCACGCAGGCGGUUAAUUAAGUUGGAUGUGAAAUCCCCGGGCUUAACCUGGGAAUGGCAUUCAAGACUGGUUAGCUAGAGUCUUGUAGAGGGGGUAGAAUUCCAUGUGUAGCGGUGAAAUGCGUAGAGAUGUGGAGGAAUACCGGUGGCGAAGGCGGCCCCUGGACAAAGACUGACGCUCAUGUGCGAAAGCGUGGGGAGCAAAC
rnacentral:rRNA from 1 species